AGUAAAUUACCAUACUUACUCGUUUAUAUGAAUUAUGUCUGUAAUUGAAAUCGAUAGCACUAGACGCUGAGGAUAUCGACUAUAAUUACAGAGAUCUGAGCAUUUAAAAAUAAAAAAGAUUCAUGUCGACCCUGGUAAGGUAUACAUUAAAAAUCUACACAAUCAUCUUUAAAAAGAAGCUAGGGGGAUUUUCAAAAGCAAGUUUUACAGUGAUUGUAGCUAAUAUUAUGCCCACUCAGAGUAAAUAAAUUUCCAACCACAGGUCCCCGAGAAAAAAUGCCAGAGAAUACUUGCAC
rnacentral:sRNA from 1 species